rnacentral:rRNA from 1 species
CCUACGGGUGGCUGCAGUGAGGAAUAUUGGUCAAUGGGCGCGAGCCUGAACCAGCCAAGUCGCGUGAGGGAUGACGGCCCUACGGGUUGUAAACUUCUUUUGUCAGGGAGCAAUUGGCUCCACGCGUGGGCUUAGCGAGAGUACCUGAAGAAAAAGCAUGGGCUAACUCAGUCCCAGCAGCCGCGGAAAUACGGAGGAGGCGAGCGUUAUCCGGAUUUAUUGGGUUGAAGGGGUGCGUAGGCGGAAUAUCAAGUCAGCGGUAAAAAUUCGGGGCCAAACCCCGUCGUGCCGUUGAAACUGAUGUUCUUGAGUGGGUGAGAAGUAUGCGGAAUGCGUGGUGUAGCGGUGAAAUGCAUAGAUAUCACGCAGAACUCCGAUUGCGAAGGCAGCAUACCGGCGCCCAACUGACGCUGAAGCACGAAAGCGUGGGUAUCGAACAGGAUUAGAUACCCGUGUAGUC